AUUGAUGAUGAAUACGGGGCCACCUGAGUGAUGAUGAAAUUUCCCCAAUGCUGAUA
rnacentral:snoRNA from 1 species